ACUCCUACGGGAGGCAGCAGUGGGGAAUAUUGCACAAUGGGCGCAAGCCUGAUGCAGCCAUGCCGCGUGUAUGAAGAAGGCCUUCGGGUUGUAAAGUACUUUCAGCAGUGAGGAAGGUGGGUAGUGUUAAUAGCAUACUCAUUUGUACGUUAGCUGCAGAAGAAGCACCGGCUAACUCCGUGCCAGCAGCCGCGGUAAUACGGAGGGUGCGAGCGUUAAUCGGAAUUACUGGGCGUAAAGCGCAUGCAGGUGGUUUGUUAAGUCAGAUGUGAAAGCCCGGGGCUCAACCUCGGAAUUGCAUUUGAAACUGGCAAACUAGAGUACUGUAGAGGGGGUAGAAUUUCAGGUGUAGCGGUGAAAUGCGUAGAGAUCUGAAGGAUACCGGUGGCGAAGGCGGCCCCUGGACAGAUACUGACACUCAGAUGCGAAAGCGUGGGAGCAAACAGGAUUAGAUACCCCGU
rnacentral:rRNA from 1 species